UCUCUACAACCAAGUGAGAGUCAACCCUCCUUGUGUGUACGACCUGGAAGGCAAUUAAAAUAGAACUGGAAAAGAAACUCUCAGCAGCAGAGUUUCAGCAAACAAUGUUAGAAAUAUAUUGAUUGUGCAGCUUUUGCACACCUUAAGGUCGACAGGUGUGUAGGAGAAGACAGAAAUCCAACAAAAUCAGGACAAGUGGCGUAGAUUUGUCGGUCCAGGUGUGUUUGAUGGGAUUUUGAGGGACGUCUGUGGCCUGAUUGGGCCACGCGAGUCCACAAUUCCACUUAACACAGUGCAGAGCCUGUUUGACAACGUGCUGUUCUACACAAAUCAUACAGAUCCAGUCUAAAGCCUCCUGAACUGCUCACAGACACUACAGGACCUCCUUCAUCAUACCAAACAUCUGGAUGAUUACAUCUGUAUUUUCUGAGCCAGAGGACAACGAUCAGUGGGAGAGACAUCCUGACAGAGGAAGACAGUGUAGUUCCUGAUUCAGUCGGUGUCUCCAGGUCCACGUUCUGCCACGAUGACACGCACGCAGACUCAAGGUGAAAACAACACCAGCCUCCCCGCAGCAAUAAGAUAUAAAGCUAAGCUGUUGCUGCAGUUGUGAAGUCGUCACCUGAAGGUAACAUCUCUCUACUGGAGGGGACAAAACUGCCUCCAUCGAUCAGGAAUCAUAUCAAGCACUUCUGUCAAGUUCUUUGAUUCAAGGCUCAUUUUUAGAAACAGCAGCUGAUACAGACUCACUGCAACAAUCUCAAUCUGCUGACAGAGAACAAAUGAUAUGAUCAGAACCUGCAGGACAGAAAUGGACCUUGAGGUGAAGAAUUUGCCACUUGUUAAGUCAUAAUUCUAUACUACUUUACCUGGACUGGGACUGACUGGUGAUUGUGAGGUAUCAAGCAAUAUUACAAGAUAGGACAGUACGUUUCUUUCAACAAACUCUAAGUGAUCUAUACUUGCGUGUACAUAUUGGCAAGAUGUGGAAUCUCGUGUAUAUUAUAAAGUGUAUAUUGUUAUUUUUAUUGGCACUUCCAGAAGCAUUGAGAUGAUGAAGUUUGACCUUCAUUCAUUCCCUUCAGGAUAAAUGUAAUCUGGCAUGGCAGGUAAAGGGAAUGAACAUUAUGGAAACAAGCAAAGACAAAAUAAAAUAAACAUACACUCCAAUAAAUAGAGCAGAAUAGAAUAUAAUGUUAUAUACACUAGAUGAAUCUCAUACAGGCUGUUGCUGCAAGUGCACGUCGACGCAUUUUAGCUGUUAGUAGUUUAAUUUCCCCCCCAAGAGGUGCUGUAGGUGAAUUUUAUAGUGUGUUUAUUAUCUUUUUUUAAGACUGCGCUGUAUGUCCAUGUCUCUGUGGACGGUCAGUGGACACACACUGGCGAAUAAUGCAUCGGUUUGAUUUUCCCUUGAACUUCAGACUCUACAAAUUGAAGUGUCGUGCAGCAUGGGGGCUAAUAUAUCUGAAAGAUGAAAUUCCAGCGGCACAUUUCCCCCUUAAACCCAGACUCCCCUGACCCCCAGAGAGCGGGUCAGAUGGAAAAAGCGAGAGUAUACCCCCUCCACUCUCCAACAACAGGCCCCGUGAGGGAGAUGAUGAACAGGGAGCUGCACAAAGCCAGCACUCAGAUUUAAUUGGACGGAAGGUGGCUGUACACUCAUACCAUAAAUAACUGGACUCUGGAAAGUGUGUGUGUGUGUGUGUGUGUGUGUGUGUGUGUGUGUGUGUGUGUGUGUGUGUGUGUGUGUGUGUGUGUGUGUGUGUGUGUGUGUGUUGACUCUGGGUGGGGCGAGGAGGGUUAACCAUCAUGCAGUCCAGUCGUGCAGCGAGCUUAAGCACCGCUGCAGCUGAGAGAGGCUGUCAGGAGCCCGGCGUAAAUAUCCUGCAGGCUAACUGAUUUGUCUACGGUCGUAAACACGACAUAAAGAGCUAAUAUACAGGUCAGCACCGGCGUGAUUUACACCCCCCAGAGACCCCAAACUUCAUCAAGCCAUUUCACUUCCCUCCUCUUCACUUGCAUGCAACUUUUUCAUAGCGAGAGUGAAGUUUUUCUUGGACCCGAUCCCCCGAAAAAAGGCCAAUAUGUAGAUUUGUUUGAUGAAAUUGUUGCGUUCUGCCAUGAAAACUUCAGUCUUUAGUCAACACAGGGUGGACUCUUUGAUAUCUUAAACAUUGUUUUUGGUGGGUCAUCACUUUAGAGCUUUUGCUGACAAACUCCACAGAUUUAAACACCGUCCAAGAAUCCCGAUUUGAGAUGUACAUGAUAGAAAGUCGUUUAAUUUGUCUGUGGGUUGGAACUCAUAAUCAGUCAGAAUCAGGCUCAAAGACUGAUGCAGCUGUCAUCACUCGCUCUGCCCUCAGUCCAACACUGAAACACAGAGAGAGAGAGAUGAGAGGAGGAGGGAGGAAGAGGAAGAAGAGGAGGAAGAUGAUCAGAAUAACUCAGUCCAUCAGGUACUCAGGACGUUUGGACAAAGCAGACUUUGUAUAAUUCACUUUUGACUUUGAGUCUGUUAUUUUUCUCAUCCUUCCUUCUGAUAUAAAGAAGAAUCAAGAGGCCACAUUGUUAGAGGAGCUCGUAUCUUGUCAAGGACUUCUAAAAAUACUACCAAGAUGCUUCACUGUUGGAACUGAAUCCAGGCAGCAUUUCUUCUAAACUGCAUCUGGAAAAACAAAUGAUUGAAACUGGU